rnacentral:rRNA from 1 species
UGCUGGAGGUAUCAGAAGUGCGAAUGCUGACAUAAGUAACGAUAAAGCGGGUGAAAAGCCCGCUCGCCGGAAGACCAAGGGUUCCUGUCCAACGUUAAUCGGGGCAGGGUGAGUCGACCCCUAAGGCGAGGCCGAAAGGCGUAGUCGAUGGGAAACAGGUUAAUAUUCCUGUACUUGGUGUUACUGCGAAGGGGGGACGGAGAAGGCUAUGUUAGCCGGGCGACGGUUGUCCCGGUUUAAGCAUGUAGGCUGGUUGUCCAGGCAAAUCCGGAUAAUCAAGGCUGAGGUGUGAUGACGAGGCACUACGGUGCUGAAGUAACAAAUGCCCUGCUUCCAGGAAAAGCCUCUAAGCAUCAGGUAACAUCAAAUCGUACCCCAAACCGACACAGGUGGUCAGGUAGAGAAUACCAAGGCGCUUGAGAGAACUCGGGUGAAGGAACUAGGCAAAAUGGUGCCGUAACUUCGGGAGAAGGCACGCUGGUGUGUAGGUGAAGUCCCUGCGGAUGGAGCUGAGACCAGUCGAAGAUACCAGCUGGCUGCAACUGUUUAUUAAAAACACAGCACUGUGCAAACACGAAAGUGGACGUAUACGGUGUGACGCCUGCCCGGUGCCGGAAGGUUAAUUGAUGGGGUUAUCCGUAAGGAGAAGCUCUUGAUCGAAGCCCCGGUAAACGGCGGCCGUAACUAUAACGGUCCUAAGGUAGCGAAAUUCCUUGUCGGGUAAGUUCCGACCUGCACGAAUGGCGUAAUGAUGGCCAGGCUGUCUCCACCCGAGACUCAGUGAAAUUGAACUCGCUGUGAAGAUGCAGUGUACCCGCGGCAAGACGGAAAGACCCCGUGAACCUUUACUAUAGCUUGACACUGAACAUUGAGCCUUGAUGUGUAGGAUAGGUGGGAGGCUUUGAAGCGUGGACGCCAGUCUGCGUGGAGCCAACCUUGAAAUACCACCCUUUAAUGUUUGAUGUUCUAACGUUGGCCCCUGACCGGGGUUGCGGACAGUGUCUGGUGGGUAGUUUGACUGGGGCGGUCUCCUCCCAAAGCGUAACGGAGGAGCACGAAGGUUAGCUAAUCCUGGUCGGACAUCAGGAGGUUAGUGCAAUGGCAUAAGCUAGCUUGACUGCGAGCGUGACGGCGCGAGCAGGUGCGAAAGCAGGUCAUAGUGAUCCGGUGGUUCUGAAUGGAAGGGCCAUCGCUCAACGGAUAAAAGGUACUCCGGGGAUAACAGGCUGAUACCGCCCAAGAGUUCAUAUCGACGGCGGUGUUUGGCACCUCGAUGUCGGCUCAUCACAUCCUGGGGCUGAAGUAGGUCCCAAGGGUAUGGCUGUUCGCCAUUUAAAGUGGUACGCGAGCUGGGUUUAGAACGUCGUGAGACAGUUCGGUCCCUAUCUGCCGUGGGCGCUGGAGAAUUGAGGGGGGCUGCUCCUAGUACGAGAGGACCGGAGUGGACGCAUCACUGGUGUUCGGGUUGUCAUGCCAAUGGCACUGCCCGGUAGCUAAAUGCGGAAGAGAUAAGUGCUGAAAGCAUCUAAGCACGAAACUUGCCCCGAGAUGAGUUCUCCCUGAGACUUUAAGUCUCCUGAAGGAACGUUAAAGACGAUGACGUUGAUAGGCCGGGUGUGUAAGCGCAGCGAUGCGUUGAGCUAACCGGUACUAAUGAACCGUGAGGCUUAACCUU